rnacentral:rRNA from 1 species
GGGGGUGCACCAGGAUUCGAAUUCUCUGCAAUAUGUGAAAGCUUGAUCGGGUUACUCUGAAUGAUUUCCGUUAAGGAGAUCUUUUGGCACAUCUAAAAAUGAUGCAAAAUAAGGGGUGGGCAAGUCUGGGGUCAGCCGCCGCGGUAAUACCAGCACCACUCAGUGGUCGGGACGUUUAUUGGGCCUAAAGCAACCUGUAUUCGGUUCUACGACUCUUCCGUUAAAUCCCACUGCUUAACAAGUGGGUUGCAGAAUAUACUAUAGAGCUCUGAGGAGGUAGAGGCAACCGGUACUCGAUGGGUAGGGGUAAAAUCCGUUGAUCCAUUGAACACCACCACUGGCGAAAGUUGCUUGCCACAAUGCGCUCUAUUGUGAGGGAUGAAACCUGGAGGAGCAUACCUGAUUAAAUACCCGGGUAGUCCCAGCUGUAAACCAUGCACACACGGUGAUGAGUUGGCUAUAUGCAAUCUCAAUGCCACAGGGAAGCCAUUAACUUUGCCGCCCGGAGAUUACGGGCGCAACACUGAAACUUAAAGGAAUUGUCGGGCGAGCAC